rnacentral:rRNA from 1 species
CCCUUAGACGUUCUGGGCCGCACGCGCGCUACACUGACCAGUGCAACAAGCAUCCGUCCUUGGCCGACAGGCUCGGGCAAUCUUUGAACGCUGGUCGUGAUGGGGAUAGACUUUUGCAAUUUUUGGUCUUCAACGAGGAAUUCCUAGUAAACGCAAGUCAUCAACUUGCAUUGAUUACGUCCCUGCCCUUUGUACACACCGCCCGUCGCACCUACCGAUUGGAUGGUCCGGUGAAGCCUCCGGAUUGGCGCGCACCUCGGUGCCGCCGAGAAGUUGGCUAAACCUUACCAUUUAGAGGAAGGUGAAGUCGUAACA